AUUUUUAACACAAAAACUUAACCUGUAGAAUAGCCCCAGGAUGUAACGUGCAGAGUCCUCCGUAAUACAGACCCAAACACUUGGUAUUUUUACACGUGGGCGCUCAUAGCAGACGCCAGUAACCAGAAAAAGUCCUUCUUUAAGGCAGCUAAAACCAACAGAACUUAUUCGAUGAUGUAUUAACUGAUACAGAAACGGUAAAGCACACUAUGUUCAACACAAGUGACGUACAAUUUUGAACCACUUCGUUAAAACGGAUGGAUGUGCAAAAUCGGCAGCAACCCUCAAAAUUAUAUGGUAUUUAAGGACUCAGAUACGAAACUUCCACUUUUUAACAGACACGCCACCAAUUUAGGAAAUUCUAUGCAUAUGCCCUUAACAAGUAAGCUUCAACAGAAGUAGAACGUCUAUUAUCACGAGGAUGAGCUAUUCCAGCUAUCCUCUCAAAAUUAUAACGUAUUUAAGGACCCACAAAACGAAACUUUUAUUUUUUAACAGACACUCGUGUAAAUAAGGUUUUAACUAGAAAAAUUCUUUGCAUGUGCCCUUAACAUGGAAGCUUCAACAGAAUUAGGACGUCGUUAACAUCCUGAGGAUAAGCUAUUCCAGGUAUCCACACAUAACUGGGGGCUGUGCGAUAGAGGAUGGAGGACUUGCAUCAUACUCGUAAAUAAAUACAUCGAAUUAUGUUAUCAUAUUUGGAAGGUACUGAAGAACACAUCGCAACUCAUUGAAGUACACCUCGUAUUAUAAAAUGUUAUGCUUGACCAUAUAACGUUAUCGAACCGACAUGCACAACAUUAUACAUCACACCUAAUUUAUAAUAUCGCAAAUGUAACACAAACACGAGUUAUAUUACACUACUAAAGGAAAUACUGUUCAGAAGGUCGUCUUAGGUAAAUAAAUGUUCAUCCCACAAA